rfam:Anopheles merus strain MAF unplaced genomic scaffold supercont2.112, whole genome shotgun sequence.
UACUAGCAGGAACCGUUUGUCGCGUCGGUUCGUGCGACCGAACGACAUUGCACGCUGGCCGGCCUCAACAACGCCGAGAUAAUUGGCUUGUGACCUCCAAGCGUUCAUAGCGAGGUGGCUUUUUGAUCCUUCGAGGUCGGCUCUUCCUGUCAUUGUCAAGCAAAAUUCACCAAGUGUUGGAUUGUUCACCUUUUCAAGGGAACGUGAGCUGGACUUAGACCGUCGUGAGACAGGCUAGUUUUACCCUACUGAUG